rnacentral:rRNA from 1 species
GAUGAACGCUAGCUACAGGCUUAACACAUGCAAGUCGAGGGGAAACGGCAUCGAAAGCUUGCUUUUGAUGGGCGUCGACCGGCGCACGGGUGAGUAACGCAUAUCCAACCUGCCCAUCACUUUGGAAUAACCUUGCGAAAGUAAGACUAAUGCCCAAUGACAUCCCACGAAGGCAUCCGAAUGGGAUUAAAGAUUUAUCGGUGAUGGAUGGGGAUGCGUCUGAUUAGCUUGUUGGCGGGGUGACGGCCCACCAAGGCAACGAUCAGUAGGGGUUCUGAGAGGAAGGUCCCCCACAUUGGAACUGAGACACGGUCCAAACUCCGACGGGGGCAGCAGUGAGGAAUAUUGGUCAAUGGGCGAGAGCCUGAACCAGCCAAGUAGCGUGCAGGAUGACGGCCCUAUGGGUUGUAAACUGCUUUUAUAAGGGAAUAAAGUGGGUCACGUGUGACUUUUUGCAUGUACCUUAUGAAUAAGGACCGGCUAAUUCCGU